UUUUUAUAACUAACCCAAGACCGAUCACAGCCUGUCGUUUCCAAUAUAGUAAUGGCGUCUUUUUUGUAGGUACUAACUCCGCCAUGGUGUGUUGUACAUAGCCUAUUGGGAAAAUGAAUUGUGUUUUUGUAAGGGUUUUGGAUAAACGCCAAAUAUAAGUCUCCAUUUUGACCGAUGCAAACCUGUGAUGUCUACUCCGUGGAUGCUGGACUCGACACAACCAACAGCGAUAUUUGAAGCCAUGAUGUCAGCAAGCAGCGAUGAUCAACACAGUAAUCCUGUCACGGUCUUCCUCCUCUUCAUCUGAAGAGGAGAGGCGAGAAGGAUCAGAGGACCAAAAUGCGGCGUGAGGUCAUUCCUGAAUUUACGGACUCAGAAGUAGCUGCAACAUGCUCGAAUGGUGAAACCACAACCUCAGAGCCCUGCACCCCGACACCCAGGGUCCAUCGACACAAUCAAUGCUCCUGAAACCCAUGAACUCUGCACCCCAAGGGUCCAUUCUCGGUUGGUGAACAGUUCAAUGUUAAUUGUCAUGUUCACUUGUAGCCCAAAUCACACAAUUUCUUCAACAGGGCUUAUCAACAGAGGGCUUUUGUCAUGGCAGGGUUAUGUUCUUAAACAUUAUUUAAGGAGACAUUAUGAAUCUAGGAGUGUUUAUAUAAAACUGGAUUACAGAUUAAAGUCAUCAUAUUCUGAGCCAAGAUUUGUAUUAUUUGCAUCAUUGGCGUAUCCUGGUUGGUCCCACACUGGCCUUUGGUGGACAAGAUUUAAUACAUUUGCUGAGACAAUCCAUGGUUGGCGAACAAAACUGCACUCACACUGGCUGUUCUCAGGUUUGCUAUGUAGUCUGUACCUUAUAAUUCCUGUAAUGUAAAUCUCAUAUCAUCUGCUGGUUGAGAGAAUGCCAAGAGUGUGCAAAGCUGUCAUCGAGGGUGGCUACUUUGAAGAAUCUCAAAUAUAAAAUAUAUAUUGAUUUAACACUUUUUUGAUUACUACAUGAUUCUGUGUUAUUUAAUAAUUUUGAUGUCUUCACUAUUAUUUUACAAUGUAGAAAAUAGCAAAAAUAAAGAAAAAGACUUGAAUGAGUAGGUGUGUCCAAACUUUGGACUGGUAUUGUAUAUUUUCCCAGGGAAGAGAACACAAUUGGAGCACAACCAGCGAAUACCUGAACUUCAUGAGGGUGACGGAGGCCUCAUACCUGAAGACACUUGAGGCCCAGCGUCGUCUUCUUCUUUUUAGACCGUCAUUAUAAAAUAAUUAUUUGUUCUUAACUGACUUGCCUAGUUAAAUA